AGCAAUAUGACUAAUGCGACUCAAAUUCAGACCACACCUGAGUCAGUGAGCACCCUAGCUAUCAGGCCAACACACAAGAUUCUAAUAUUUAUGAGUUAACGAUAAUAAGUUAAUCAAAAUAUUGUUAUAUAUAUGUAAUAAAUUUUUUUUAACAAUUUUACUAUAAGCUUUGAUCAUAUUUAUUUUUUUAUGCAAUGCCUAGA
rnacentral:lncRNA from 1 species